CAGAGGGACAGUCCCGCUUCAGAGGGACUCGGUAUAGUUCAAAAUUCAAGCCUUUAAUGAUUACAUUUUAAAUUGGCCCAUUUUCAAGGCAAAAAAAAUAAUAAUAAUAAGUUCGUUUGAAACUGAGCACCUUCGGCCCCAUCCUUCGUUCCCAAUCUUACCCAAUCCAGUUUUACCACAAAAGUCCCAUUAUGUUCCUCCUACAUAGUCAGCAAUGCGCGAGCCAUUCAGCAAGUUUUUACUGUUAAUCUCCCCAUUUUCCCUCCCUCUUUCACACACACACACACACACACACACACACACACACACACAUGAGAGAGAGACACACACACACGGAGACACACACACACACACACACACCAUCCAUCUGUUGCUUGUUCCUACCUCCUGAUUUUUCUCCCUUACAGAAAUAGAAAUAGGGACAAAGAAGGGGAAAAUGUAUAUAUGGGGGCUGGGCUGAACAACUUCAUAAGUAGUGUUAACUAGGGGUAAAUUGAGAGAAAAGUUCCUUUUCUCUUCACUGUUUUGGAAAGGAUAGCCAUUAGCAUGACUGCUUUGUGUCCUUACGGAUUUUAGUAUUAGCCUAGAUUGAAUCAUAGAGUUUUCUAGUUGGAAGGAACCUUAAGAUCAUAUCAUCUACUCCACAUUCCUCAUUUUCAGGCCAGGAACGGAGAUGCAGAGGUAAAGUAAUUUCCCCAAGGUCACACAGCUGGCUAGGGGCAGGGCUGGGAUUAGAACCCACAGCUCCUGGCUCUUAUUCCAAAGCCUUUUCCCACUGAACUGUAUUGCCUUCCACCAGGCUCCUGAGAAUUCUUUCCCAGGGUCAUGUUGCAUCUUGGAGCCAUAUGCUGCUGCCCUGAUGUCAGCGGGAAAUCCACCGAGCAACCUAAUACGGCUCUUUCUCCCUCUGUUCACAUGGUUCCCGUUCACAUGGACUGCAGAUGUCCCCAGAGAAAUGGAGGCACUGAGGACCUACUGGAACAAGGGGGUCACUGACCUUGUCCAUACAACACAGGGGAUCACUGCCCCACCUUGAGGCGCCCUCAGAGCAGAGCCCCCUGUGUUGCUACCUUGUCCGAAUGGGAUGGGGAAGACUGCUUUCCCCUGUCAGCUCACCUCAUCUCAUGCUGGUUGGUCUUUGUAGGCUGAAGGAAAGGUUUCUUAUUCCCAGAGCAGGGAAAGGCAGGGAGGCAGGGAAGAAGGAGGGAAGGAAGGAAGGAAGGAAGGAAGGAAAGAAGGAAGGAAGGAAGGAAGGAGGGAAACAGUAGCUUUGUUCAUCCAGACUUUCUGAGAUGACUUUUCAGUAGUUUUUAAACGAGUGUGCCUACCAUUCCGCUGGCAGUGAUUUCUUUUAAAAUAUGGGAGUGAGACUAGCUAGAGAAAAUAACCUGGUCUUACUGUGGUUGCCCUCAUCCGCAAUGUGUCCAUAGUCGUCCCGCCCUAAUGGGAACAAUUUCCAGGUAUAAGCAAGGGGCUUUGUGACUCAAAUGUUCCCUGCCUGAUGUUAAACAUUGGCUCCUUGAGUUUGCACUAAAAUAGUAAGCUACGUGCUGUACACACCAUGUCCGUCUUCUUGUGUACACGGCUCCCGGGGCCCUUCCAGGGCAGAAACAGGGCAACAAGUUUUCUUCCUGGGAACCAGUAUUCAUUAGUUCAGUUCCAAAAGACCUCCUCUGGGCUUACCCCACUCCUCAGGAAAUUCGCUCUCCCUCCUCCUUCUCCUCCUCAAUCAGAAGUAACCAAGGAACCUUCAAGGGGAUGUGUUGUAUCUGAAGAAGGCAAGAAGAAGGGGUCUGAGCCUCUAGAGCCUUCACUGAAUCACCCAACCCAAGUCAGACCAGCAGUCCAGUGCUUGCCUUGGCCAACACUCUGUUUACUUCUUAGAACUUUUGGUACUUUGGAUGGACCUGUCCCUAGUCCCCCUCAGAUUUGUUUCUAAAGAGCUUAUUUAAAAAAAAAAUACAUCUCCCUUGGACAAGGGAGCAAGCAUGCCCAUAUCUCCAAAACAAGCUCCAGCCCACUGAUGAGAAUGUUCCCAAAGAGCAGUGUACCUCAAACACAUCUAUGCCAAGAGACCUCCCCAGACAGAGGCACUGAGACAAUGGGGUUUGAACGACUUCCUUCACUGUCCAGUUUGCUAUGGAAAUAAAAAGCAUUGGCAAUUUCUUUAAAAGAAAAAAAAGGCCAUUGGAUCCUGUCCUUGGCCACAUGGGGCCACUUGGAUCUCCAAGACUAGGCCUCACUCGUAUAUUGCCUUUACUGCAUGAAAGGAUUUGGCUUCUAGGCCUAGGCUGGCUUCCUAAGUAAACCGUCGGCAUUUUGAAGCUUAUCUGGGACUGAAGAGGGGUUAGCAUUCUCUAUUUUGGAACCAGGAACCUAGAGAGGAUAAAGGCCUAGCCAUAGAUAUGCCAAAAGUGAUCCGGGACCUCUUGUCUGGAGCUUUGCCAUUGCUGGGCUUCCUGGGUCUCUCUCCAGGUGUGGAAGUUCAAGGCUGUCACACUCCUGCCUCCACCUAAGAAGGGGACCCCAUAUGUUGCCUUAUCCACUCUUUUAUGAUUCCAUCCGGGGUUUCCAUUUUCUUGCAGGUGUGACCACCUGGAGCAAGCAGACUGCAUCGAUUCCUCUUGCGUACCUUUUGGCUGGAGGUACACCAUGCCAACAGGUUCUCUGACUUUUGGUGGCCCAGAUCCAGUCCAGUGCCAUGAGCACUCAAUGGAUUGCCUUGGCCCUGAACACUGUAAUCAUAGACCAAGACAACAUGAAUCACUUCUUAAAAAUAAAUUCCUGAUUUUAUUUUUCCUCUGGCUAGCAAAACUCACUUCCCUAGCAGGGAAAAGGCUGGAGGUUCUUGCCACACAGCAGCCAAAAUAUAUAUUCAGGGAGGACAAUGCAUUUCUAAACCCACAGAGCCCUGGCUCCAAUGGGCAAGCUACUGUGGGCUCAGACUUAGCAGAUUCUUCUAGCCCUUCCACUUUUUCUUUCCAGAGACAAGGAAGCUCCUUCUCCAUCAUCCUGUCUUUCAGUAUGUCUGGUUAGAGAAUUUUCUCCUUCUAUCUUUUCAGGAAAGGGUGACUUCCUCCUCUGUCUCUCCCACCCUGGUCCCCAAGCUUGUCUCCAUCCCCAAAAGACCUGGGGUGGUCUUUAUACCCAGCCUCCUGGUGUUGCUUCCUGCUUUCUGUUAAGAAGCCAUGUAGGCCUCCCAUCUGGCCUAGGCAGUGAGAUGCUUGUUGUCAUAGGACAAGGCUCUAGGACCUCCCCUUCUAACUGCCCAACUUUUUAUUCCUUAGCUCAUAGGCUUCACCAUCUUCUGGAAUCAGAAGCAGUCUUGUCUUACCUUGGAUACCUGAAGCUAGGGGAGUAUAGAAUUCUCAUUGGGAAUUAAGGCAUCUUCUUUUCCUGAUUAGUAGGACAGGCUAGUUGGGAGAGAUCAGUGGCACAACAGAAGUCAGAGCAGACAUCCUGUGAACUAAGGCAAAGACUGGGAGGCAUUGGAACUUUUCGUUCAGGGGUUAACAACGAGGAAAUCCACGGCUUUCUGCCACUCUCUUCCUUACCUCCCCUUGUAUCUCUUGUCUUUUCUUUCUCUCUCCAGUUCACCAUAUUUGCUCUCUGUUUUAUCCCUCUCUCUUUCUGCAGUACAAACCUCUCUCCUCUGUCCUCUGCAAUCCUUCUCUCUCUCUCUCUCUCUUUUUUUCUCUCCCUUUUAAUGUUUUACCUUCCUCCUUAUUGAGGUGUUGGGCCUAUGCCUCUUCUUAGCCCCUUGACCUUGCCUUGGUCAUGAGGAGUUGUUUCCAGACUCAGCAAGCCCUGAGCCUGCCCAAGUCCAGUCAGAAGUGUGUUCGUGGGGAUCAAUCCGAUCCUGGCCCUUUCUUCCACAUUUUCAGUUGUAAUUCCCCAAAGCAGAUCCUCCCAAGCAGGUUCCUUAUUGCUCACGUAUCUUUGGGUCAUCGCCUUCCAAGUAUUGUACAGAAUACCUUGUGGAGCAGUGAAACGUGCUCAGAGAAGUAAUCAGCUGAACUGGAAGAUCCACCUAGGGAUUCAUAUCAGCUAAAUACUAGUGGUUGAUUUUGUUUAAUUUGCUCAUAAUUUUAAAAGCUGCAAUAUAAUAUAAGGAGAGACCAGAGGUAAUUUCUCCUGUCAUUUGGUUUAGCUGGGGGUGGGGUGGGGGGACAGUUUCUUUAAAGUUUGACCAUUAUACCAUAAGCCCUCUAUAGUAUGUUUGGGGCUUGCCGAGUGUUGACUUUUUCAAGCUGAACUGAUAGGCAAUUGGGGUUGCUUUAAAUGUUCAGUGUAUUUAGCAACUCCAUAAAAAGAAACGUUCACUUAAUUGACUUGUGCUUUUCCUUCUGUUACUAAAUUCAGCUAAACAUUUCCUAUUGACACCAACUGUUCAUGAUCCUGUGCACGUGGUCCAUAUAAGAGUAAUACUAGACCUAAAGAAGCUAUCCUGCAGGUGCUAAUUUAUUCAUCAGGGUGCACAGCCCUUGGGAAUGUCACUGCUUAGCAAUAGCAUAUGGAAUGCCCUUUCCAUUGCCAUUUCUUUGUAAGUUCUCUUAAAGGGAUCUGAGCAAGCAAGAGGUUUUACCUACAUGUCUCCAGUCUAUGGUCCUGUAAUAUAUUGCAGCUUGAAGCCAAUGAUCCCUUAUGACUUGUAUACAACUAAUGCAUGUUUUAAUUGAAUUUUGCAUUUCUCAUGUGUGGUAAGUUCUUUAAAACGUUUUCGCUCACCUUUUGGUGCCAUUAAACUUGUACAGAAAACGCUUUUAUGGCCAUUUUCAAAGGGAGAAAGUUUAAAAUGGAAACAGCCCACCCUUUCUGCCCUAUAGCUGUAGUUAGAACUCAGUAACUGUAGCAAAACAGCUGUAAUUGGUGGUUGUAGUGUUAGAGGCGUUAGCUUGCUAGUGACUAGCUUUGGAGAGUAAAUGCAUGGUAUUGUACAUCACAUUUCUUAAAUAACUCAUUCUAACCUCUGAAAAGAAUAUAUUCUUCCUUGUGGUCCCUCUUCCCUCCCUCGCCUUCUCCCUCCCCCUGCUCCCUGGUGUCUUGCAGUUGUAAAUAACUGAUUUAGGGGCCAAUAAUUUUUGCCAAGUAAAGUCAGCAAAGAACAAACAAACCAAAAAGGGGGGGAGGCAUUUCUCAACAGCCUCUUAGCAGUUAUUAACCAUUUCUCAAGGAAUGGCAUUGUGAUCAAAGACUCAGUUCCCCUUUGCAUAAAAAUCAGGGGCAGGUUGGGCGCCUCUUGGGCUAUUUGAUGGCCUUGCAGAAUUAAAUCAUUCUCAGGAUCACACCUAAUCGAAAAUCAGUGGACAAAGAUGUCCCUUAGCCCUGCAACAGUUUUGAGAUAUUCAGGGGCCCGCAGAAGGCUCUGCUUGAUCAAUGAUGGAUAAUUAUUUUUAAAAAAGAAAAGAAAAACAGAGCAAGACAACAGAUAUUUUAGGGAUUUGUAGUUGCCCCUUUAGGAUAGUUAUGGCCAGAAAAGACAAGGACAUGGGUUUAUAUGUAUUGCUGUCGGCUUCCCAGGCAGUGCCUCGCCUGCUCUUAGGCUGUGAUUCAAAAGCAAGAAGGCGGCCUCCUUUUUGGUUUGCUGUUCCCACUUGGACUGAUAGGUUUGGUGAGGCCCACGUAAACCAGCUGGAGCAGACCCUUUUCAUCUCCUGUGCCUGUUAAUAUCCCUCUUCCUCCCUUCACAAUUUGAUGAGGGCUUUCUUUGGUCAGAGGACUUCAAAGUCUAGAGAAGUUCCCCAUGUGUAUAGCGUGUUGUGAACUGUGAACGCUGCGGAUUCACAGCGUUCGAUACCGGGCAGCCACGGAGCUGCUCUUGCAAUCAUUUUGGCUCUCAAGCUCUGCUCUUCAUCUCAUUCUCAUUUAUGUGUACAUUUGCAAGAUGUGUGUAAUGUCAUUUUCCAAAAAUAAAAUUUGAUUU
rnacentral:lncRNA from 1 species